CAUAUUUAUGAUGUAUUUAUUAAUCAUAAUUUAGGAUGUAUUUGCAUUUGAGCAGAUGGUUUGUAAAGCAAUGUACGAUUAUGACGCAGUUGACACGGACGAGGUUGAUAUGCGAGAGGGAGAUUUGAUCGUAUUCUGUAAGCAGUUUGAAGCUGGAUGGUCUGAAGGCACGGUAGAGAGAACCGGAAAGCGUGGAUUUUUACCUUCAAAUUAUGUGGAGAAAAUCAACUAGGCGCUUUUUUAAAUGAAAAUUUAAUCAUUUUUUUAAAAUGUGUAUAGAACAUGUAUAUAACUAUGUGUGUUAAGAUAAGUUGUUAACCUAAAGCCUAAGGCGAGUCAGAACCAGAAUUGCAUUAAAGUUGUGAUGGAAAACGUGAUAAUUAUGUUGUUACUACUUAACAGAGCCUUUAUGUUAAAUAAAUUUUUUUAAAGUUUUUUAAAAAAUCAAAACUUAAGAUAGAUGCUUUUGAACAGUUUUUUUUUUUUUGCUUUUUCUAGAGCAAGACAAAAUAGUGUGAUGUCUUCUUGAAAUCUUCCACAUUGGUAAGACAGUUAUAAAAAUGUUUAAGUACAAAUCUGCAUGGAGAACAAAGUCAGUGCCUGCUCAGGCAAAGAUAAGUUUUGGGAGUUUUCGUAAGAUGAUUUUUGGUAUGGGUACAUGUAGUUUCGCAGGAAAAGAAGCCCAGACCAGUCUGCCUAAUGUGUACAUAGCUGUUGCAAUUUCUUUCACAUCCAUAAUUAAUGUUUUUUGGAGAGAAAAAAAGGGUUCUUGUAAAAAUUAAAAUAAAUCAUCCACGGUUUUUAAUAUUGAUAUUCAAGAGUUUCAUUCUUUUCUCUGUAGUCCAUAUCGGUUUCAAACUUGCUUCUUGAAUUCUUUGUUGUUGAUUUUUUUCCCACAUCUUUUUUAAAGAGGAAUAGAGGAAUAUUUUAUUAGCCUACAUACGUACCACUACCUUAGAGCGUAAAUGUAGUUUUGAACAAAUAUUUUUCAGAACAUCAAAAUUAACCUGCUGGGAACAAAAAUUGUAAAUCCUUGACCAGGUUGUAUACAGUUCAUUUUAGAUAAGUAAAUUUUGUUAUUAGUUUAGAUUUUUUUUAUAAAAAGAUAUAUCUUAGUUUUAAAAGUUGCCAUAUUUUGAAUAGAUAGGAGAGAGGGAAAAGGGCUUGCGAUUUGAGUAUCAUUUUCGUUUUGUUCCUCAGACUAUGAAUUUAUUUUUGUCAUAUUUUGUUGUUGUUUUUAUUACUUUUUUCUGUUCUUAAUUCAAUGAUCAGAUUGACUACAUGUGUUUGACAGUGUUUUUUUUUUUUUUUGCAUGUUUUUUUAUCAUUCAUUUUUGCAAGGAUUGUUUUUUAUUAUGAUUUUCUUUCAUGGACAUUUCCACAGACAGUAUUUUUGUUGUCAUUGUUCUCUUGUGAGACAUUUUAAGAAAAUUGCUAAAGUUUUAGUGAUGCAUUAGCUAGCAUCAUAGUGAAUGUGUGAAUUUAAAAGAACAAAAGCAUCCCGAAACAUUAGAAAUGAAAUAAGAAAAAAAAAACUUGUGCAGUUUUCCAAGAUAUUCAAAUGUAAAGCAGCUUCAUUCUUUCCCAAAAAAGCAAUUUUAGUGAUAAGUCUUACAAAAAAAAAAAAAAAAGGCUAAGCCUCUUCCAAAUUAAGAGAGUAAAAACUCCUUUUUGAAACAGAAAAAAAACAACAAAUAUUAAAUUUUGAUCAUUAAUGUGUGAAUUCAGGCUGUGUUAAAUACCAAUAACUAUAUUUAAGUCUUUGGGGUUUGUUUUAAGAAAAAGGUUUUGUUGUUAUUAUUUUAAGCAAAAAAUUACUAGGUUAAACUGUUUUAUCAAUUUUGUAUAUUUAAAAGGCAUCUAGUAUUUUAUGUCAACCCUCAUCUGAUAAUGCAAUACUACUUAUCUAUAUAUGCUUAUCUAAGUUAUUUCAUAUGAAUCUUCCAUAAACAAUUUCGAAUGUGUAUCGAAUACUGCUAUUUAUAUAUAUAUAUGAAGCCUUGGAUUGUAUGCUCAAUGCAACACCUAGUGAAUUAACUAAUUCUGGUGCAAUUUCGGUAUGCAGUCAUAGUGGCGUGUCUUGGAAACACGAUUUUCGAUUGUCUCUUUUUAUUAAGGGUGUAUCAUAAAAAAAAUGUUAACACAGAUGUUUUUAAAACUGAAACUUUGUUAAGGCUUGUUUUAAAGCUAGAUAGUAGAAUUUAGAUGUUUUUAUAUUAGAAGUGUGUGGUGGAGAAUGGAGUAAAAUGUAGCCCUUUUGUACCCAUAAAAUAAUAAGUUGUUGUUCCAAAAAUUGUUAAUUAGUUGUAUAUUAAUUUCAACAUUUCUAAAAUAAGUUUUUGAAUUCUAAACAUUUUCAAGUGUAAUGUUUGGCAAAUGGGGUUCAUAAAUCGGUGGAAUUUAUAUUGUUUUUGGCUUAAUCUUUAGCCUGUAGGAAACAAAAUUGAUUACCCUUUACCACCAGAAAAGAGCCAGGCCAGUCUGCACAACCAUUGCAUCAGCCCAGGCUCUACACUGUAUUAGUAGCUAAAUUUUUGUAUUUUGAUACAGAAUUCCAUUAAAUUUUGAAUGGACCGCUCCAAAUUGAAAGCUGGGCAAAUUGUUUAUACAAAUAACAGGUUGAACUGAAAAAAGUGCUUAAGUAAAGGGAUAAAAAGGUCAUAACAAUUUCUCCAUGGAGUAGAAAACAAACCCUGAUAUUAUUUUGUGGGUAUCACAAGGGUUUUCAACGUUUGUAUGAGUGAAGAAGGUUUUUCAUUGCUUGGAGUUUUAAAAGUGUCCUGAUUCAUCAUGUGUUUGUCUUUCAUGUUAAGUUUUGUUUUUGUCAAGUUUAGAUUGUGUAUAUGUAUGGUAUAUAGGUGGGCUUUUUUAACUGGAUGGUAUAUAUAUGUGUGUAUUAUCUAGCUAGGUGGCAUAUAUGUGUAUUAUCUAAUUAGGUGGUAUAUAUGACUAUUUCCUAGCUAGGUGCACUAUCUGAUUAUGUGGAAUGUGUGUAUUAUCUAGCUGGGUGGUAUAUAACUGUAUUAUCUAGCUGGGUGGUAUAUAACUGUAUUAUCUAGCUGGGUGGUAUAUAACUGUAUUAUCUAGCUGGGUGGUAUAUAACUGUAUUAUCUAGCUGGGUGGUAUAUAACUCGUAUUAUCCUAGCUGGGUGGUAUAUAACUGUAUUAUCUAGCUGGGUGGCAUAUAACUGUAUUAUCUAGCUGGGUGGUAUAUAACUCGUAUUAUCCUAGCUGGGUGGUAUAUAACUGUAUUAUCUAGCUGGGUGGUAGAUAACUCGUAUUAUCCUAGCUGGGUGUUAUAUAACUCGUAUUAUCCUAGCUGGGUGGUAUAUAACUGUAUUAUCUAGCUGGGUGGUAUAUAACUGUAUAAUCUAGCUGGGUGGUAUAUAACUGUAUUAUCUAGCUGGGUGGUAUAUAAUGUAUUAUCUAGCUGGGUGGUAUAUAACUCAUAUUAUCUAGCUGGGUGGUAUAUAACUCGUAUUAUCUAGCUGGGUGGUAUAUAACUCGUAUUAUCCUAGCUGGGUGGUAUAUAACUCGUAUUAUCCUAGCUGGAUGUUACACAUGUAGACUAUCUGGCUUGGUGGUAAUCUGUAUUAUCCAGCUGGAUGGUAUAUAACUUCUUUUUCCCUAGCUUGGUGAUAUACAUGAGCACUAUCUGGCUGGGUGGUAUACAACCUGUUUUUAUCUAGCUUGAUGGUAUAUAUUGUUCCUCUAUCUUCCUUUAACCGUUAUAUGUGUCUGAAUUAAAACAGUUUAUAUAAAUUAAAUAUGUGAGAUAAGAAGUCAUUUUAGCAUUGGUCUUUAGAUGGAAUCUCCUAAAUUGUUUCUUUCAUUGAAAGUCUGUGCCCUUUUAAAAGGAGUCGGAAAUUUAAGGCUAUAUAAAUCAAACAUUAUAGAUUUGUGAAAGUGUUUAAAGUAACACAAAAAGUCAUGACUUCAACAUGGCAUCUUGAAUAAAAAGAAAGUCGUUUCCAGUGUCAAUAACCUUUUUAGUUAAUCAUUGAUAAAGAAUGCUUCUGUGUUAAAGAUAGGCUGUUUAUUCAAUUGCUAUGUUGUUACUCGUUGCUAUGCUGUUAGUUAAUGUGUUUUCUGCCUUUAAAUGUGAUCUAUUCUGUUGGCUUUUAAAAUCUUUUAUUCCUUACUCUAUAUUCACUUAUAUACAAGGAGUUAGCAGUUUUAAGGGUAUAUUUUUCAUUGUUUCUUGUUGACUGUUAUAGUGAAAUUAAAAAGUAUAGUGGCAUUCUGAUAACAGCUAAAACAUACUAAAUGAGGAAAAAUUGCAAAGAUCGUUAAAUAGUAACAACCUCAAAUUUAGUCAGAAUUUCACAGGAGUGAGAAUUAAAUAUUUAAGUUAUUUCAAAUUUUACUAAAAUUCGAUGCAGAAUAAAGGUUUAUUGCUACAAUUGAAAAAUUUUGUGCAACAAAUAUAUUGCCCUAUUAUAAAUAUUUUGUAAUUAUUAAUUUAUGAUGCUCGUUUUAUUUGUACAAAAUUGCUAACUCCUUCGCCUGUAUCUACGCACAGACGUUUGUUCUUUUUGUUUUAGAAAUAAGUGGUCUACGGGUAUUUGAUCGACCUAAAAAGUUUAUUUAUAGAGUUACUAAAAUAGAUGAAAUAGAGAAUUUAUUCAGGAUAGUUUGUAUAUUAAGUUUUUAUCUAAAAUUUAAUCACAGGUUUAUAUGGCAUUGUUAAUUGUUUUUAUUUUUGUAUGUAUAGGGUAUCAAUUUUGCAAUAUAUAUAUAAAUGAAAUUAAUUGAACAAUACUAUCAUUUUUUGAUCACGAAAUGUGAAAAAUAUCAAUCCAAACAGACCAGAUUUUGUUAAGUUCCUAUUCAUGCUUUAUCACCACUUUUUCAUGAGGAACUUUUACAACAAAACUGCAUUGUGAUUUCUGUAAUAUUUUUAGAACAGGUCACAAUGUUGUUCUGUUCAACACUCUCUCUGUCCCCAGUUUUUAUCACUAGCCCAGUCUGCAAUUUAUUUAACUGCCAUUGUAUUUAUGAGAAGUGCUUAUGCCCUCCCCCUUUUCUCUUUGUACCUUCCAGCACAAAUAUAUUCAGAACUUUCUUCUUAUUGGCACAAUUUCUAAAUUAUUUUUUUUUGUAAAGAGAAUGCAUGCCUCUUUAAGUAACCGUAAGCUUUGAAUUGUUUGUUUAUAUUCAUGUCAUGUGUUUUUUCCAUAGCACAAAAAUUCUUUUGCAAGGAAACCUUUAAAAUGAGUAAACUUAAUGUAGUUUAAUUGAUGAUGAAAUAUCGCAACAGAAUUAGAGACUAUGUAUUUCGCAAUUAUGUAAUGAUAUUUACUAGUAAUUUAUUAUACUCGGUGUUUUCAGAUUAUAUAAUCUAACUUACUUUGAUUUCUAUAACUUGCUGGGUCAUUUGUACAACAAUGUAAUCUUCACAUUAGUUUAUAAUAAAUUAAAAGGAUGAAAUGGA